CGAAAAGACUGGCAGUGACAGCAAAGCAACAGACAUCGAAAGCAAAGAUACACGAGUAGCGUAACCAAAAGGCUACUGUUUGGCCGUAGCCCACGCCAAAUAAAUGAAAGAUACCCUACAAACCAACCAUGAGCUUCUCCUGUGAAGAACAGACUUAAGAGGAAGAACAAUAGCUAAACCUGGUCUUAACUUCCAAUGCCCCAUCCCCCUCCACGUAACUCUGCCAACCACCAGGAAGCCCGGCAUCAGAACAUUCCAGGCAUUCCCGUGAUUGACAGAUAGCAGGUUGAUUGGCAUGUGGGACCCUGCGAACACUGGGUACUGGAAACACAAACCUUCCUACCUACCACAGCCAUCCUACAGGACUUGAAACUACAACUUCUAAGCCUCCACUCCAACCCCUCCAUUCAAACCCCUCAUGUGCUUCUGUAUUUCUGUUUUCUCGGUGUAAUAAAUAUCCAAUAAUGGAACCCUAUUGAUUUCAUUGCAUUCUCACUGAUGCAGUACU